GACGUAGGUGGCGAACGUUUAUCCGGAAUUAUUGGGCGUAAAGGGUGCGUAGGUGGCCUGGCAAGUUAUCAGUGGUAAAUCGAGGCCCAACCUCGUGGAAACUGGCAAUACUGUUUGGCUUGAGUGCAGGAGAGGUUAACGGAACUCUAUGUGGAGCGGUAAAAUGCACAGAUAUAUAGAAGAACAUCAAUAACGGCGAAGGCAGUUAACUAUUCUGUUACUGACACUGAGGCACGAAAGCGUGGGGAGCAAACAGG
rnacentral:rRNA from 1 species